rnacentral:lncRNA from 1 species
CAUCUGCUUGAUUUGCCAGGAACUAGUUAGAUAAAUGAGGUGUGAUUGCUGCUGAGCACUUUGGAGCAAAGAAGCUCGUCAAUGAGGUCAUGCUGUGGUUUAAAGAUCCUGACAGUCCAGGCCAUCAUUAUCAAUCAGGGAACAGAAUUCUGAAGCUUGCAACACAAACUGGAAAGACAGUUCAAGUCAUUUUAGACAAUGAACAACAGUGGAGAGGACUGUAUCCACGAAAUGAGUCAGGAGGGGCAGUUUUGCCACCAGAGAAGAAUUCCUCUUCACCAGCUGUGAUAUCAUUUAACAAUGACAGCUCUCUGGUUUGGUAUCAAGAAAAGCUGGAAAGCUGUCAAAUAGUUGGACUUCAAUUCCUGGCUAAAUUUCAAGGGAACAGGAAUCCUGAACUAGUAUACGUGACUGACAAAGAAGUAGCAUUAUGA